GGGGAAUAUUGGACAAUGGGCGCAAGCCUGAUCCAGCCAUGCCGCGUGAGUGAUGAAGGCCCUAGGGUUGUAAAGCUCUUUCGCCGAUGUAGAUAAUGACGGUAGUCGGAGAAGAAGCCCCGGCUAACUUCGUGCCAGCAGCCGCGGUGAUACGAAGGGGGCUAGCGUUGUUCGGAAUUACUGGGCGUAAAGCGCACGUAGGCGGGUAUUUAAGUCAGGGGUGAAAUCCCGAGGCUCAACCUCGGAACUGCCUUUGAUACUGGGUACCUUGAGUACGGGAGAGGUGAGUGGAAUUGCGAGUGUAGAGGUGAAAUUCGUAGAUAUUCGCAAGAACACCAGUGGCGAAGGCGGCUCACUGGCCCGUAACUGACGCUGAGGUGCGAAAGCGUGGGGAGCAAAC
rnacentral:rRNA from 1 species